rnacentral:lncRNA from 1 species
AUGCAUGACCAUCGGGUCUGGCACGUCGAGCACAGGACUGCCCUGAACCCACACGGCAAAGCAAGGUCUGCCCCAGAGCGCAGGCACCAAAGCCGCACGGAGCAGCAGCGACUUCCCCAGAGCAGCGCCGGGGAGCAUCCGGCACCAGCCCAGGCAGGUGGGGAGCAAUGUGAGCGCUGGAUAAGAAAUCGCACCGUCUCCUUGCUUGCACAGGGUGCGAGGGACGGAGACGGGCGCCGGGGAAGCACCGGGCGCCUCGCUGGGCCGGCAGCGUCCCGCCGCAGCUUCUCCCCGGGGCCGGACCCCCGUCUGCCGGGGCGAGCGCCAAGGACGAGACCGCACGCGCCCGGGGGGCUCCGCAGCCGCGUUUCGGGCCAGGAUGAAAUGCGACAGGCUGUCUUUAAAAAGCCACCGGGGGAGGUGGAUCGACGUGGCUCCGCGCUGCCCUCCGGAUGGUGCCCGGGCCUGCGCCUGCCUGAAACCUCACUGGGGAAACCCGGGCGGCCGCCGAAGCGCGGCUGGAGGGCGAGGGCACGAAAGGAAACUGAGGGGAAGCGAAGGGAAGGAGCAGGGCGGGCUGGGGCCCUCGACGGCCUCUUGCAAAAGCUGCUGCCCAACACUGCAGGCAGCAAGGGAGGCGCCACAGCCCUGCCUGCAGUGCGGGCGCCUGCCAACAGCUCCCGGCGUCUCCCGGCUGCAAAACACAGUGAAGCAGGAUCCUUCCCCGGCACGGCGGGCUGCCCGCGCCCGGCGCCCCCCUGCCCACAUGGUACAUCCCGCCGCCCCGCUGGGCCCGGACGCGCCCACCUCGCGCGCCGGGAGCGGGGUGCGCACCUCCGUGUGGCUCCGCGGGGCCCGCUCCGCUCCGCUCCGCUCUCCCCCGGCGCUCAGACACUGGUCGCAGCGCAACUUCCGGCAGCCUCGCGGAGGGGUCGCGCGGGGUUCAGCCCAGCGGAAGUGACGACACGCGCCCCUGCGCCGCGACCCGGAAGCCGGGGGGUGGGGCCGCCGUUGUGGUCCCCGGGGGUUGGGGGAAGAACUUCUCUGGUCUCCCCCCACUCCCGCCGGGGCGGGACCCGCACUGGAUCCCGGGGGGGGGGAUCCAGGGCUCACACUGGAUCCCUGGGGGAGGGGGCCGCUACUGGAUCGCUGAGGGGAUCCCUGGCGUUUUCCUGUGAGUGCUGUUCGUACAGGGGCAAGGCUGACCGGCCCCCCACCCCCAUCUGGGUGCAGCGGGGACACCUGCUCGAGGAUCACGGCUGA